rnacentral:lncRNA from 1 species
CGCAGGGCCACAGGACUUCCCCAGGCAGGGCAGCUCGCAGCAGCAGGCAGCUGCCUCUCCUCCUGCCCCAGUGGCCCCCCCCCGAGCCGGCCCCAGCACCCCAUUUUUCUCCAGCACGGCGCAUUCCUCCCGCGCACGGCUCAGCGGAGCCGGUGCUCCGCGUGGGACGCUCGGGUGGAGGAGGAUGCUCCGGUGCCCAGGGGAGGCACCGGGCAUGCAGCACUCCCCUCUGCAGGCUUGGCGGGUCAGGGGCCGAGACGCUGCGUUUUCAGAGGACGGCAGAAGAGAGAGACCCGCGUUUGCAGCCCAAAUUUCAAAGCAUCUGGAUGCCCAGGCCCUGCCCUAGAGCAGAAGAGCCCAGCACCAUGCAGGAUGAGGCGUUCGCCUGCCGUACAGCACGGGAAGCAGUCGGCUCAGCUGGGGCAAGGGGCUGGCGGCAGCGGGACCCCCCUGCUCCUUCCCCCCRGGCAGGCCUGGCUGCACCCCGACGCAGCGCUGGUGGCGGUGGGGAAGGGGGUUGGCCCCCCUCUGCGGAGCCGGAGCCCACGUGCUGCGGCUGCCCCGAGCCCCCCCUCCGCCAGCCGCAGCGUUCAGGCUCCUCUCCGCGCGCCGGCGUCCCUUCCCAGCGCAUCUGUCGCAGGAGGCACGUGGCGUCACUCGGCCUCGUGAUAACCGGGGACACGCAGCGCGAGCUCCGCUCAAGGGAGGGAAUCGGCGAGACAGCAGCCCCUCAGGGCCGCCAGCUCCUGGUGCCCGGGUCUUUGCAUCCGUGCGGAGCCAGAGCCCAAACCUUCUCCCACCCGGCCCUGGGGAGACGUUCGCCAGGGCAGGGGCGAGAGGUGCACGGACACAGCGCCUUGCUAUCCCCAACGCGGGCACCGCUCGCCCCACGCUGCCCCCCUACGUCCAAAUCUGGGACCCGCGGGAGGACGGGACGAGCAUCGUCCCGGGCAGAUACGUCCAACCAGGGUGGCCAACCCUCGCGCUCUGGGGCCCGACGYGACGG